rnacentral:rRNA from 1 species
GUCGAGCGGUAGAGAGAAGCUUGCUUCUCUUGAGAGCGGCGGACGGGUGAGUAAUGCCUAGGAAUCUGCCUGGUAGUGGGGGAUAACGUUCGGAAACGGACGCUAAUACCGCAUACGUCCUACGGGAGAAAGCAGGGGACCUUCGGGCCUUGCGCUAUCAGAUGAGCCUAGGUCGGAUUAGCUAGUUGGUGGGGUAAUGGCUCACCAAGGCGACGAUCCGUAACUGGUCUGAGAGGAUGAUCAGUCACACUGGAACUGAGACACGGUCCAGACUCCUACGGGAGGCAGCAGGGGGGAAUAUUGGACAAUGGGCGAAAGCCUGAUCCAGCCAUGCCGCGUGUGUGAAAAGGUCUUCGGAUUGUAAAGCACUUUAAGUUGGGAGGAAGGGUUGUAGAUUAA